rnacentral:rRNA from 1 species
GACGAACGCUGGCGGCGUGCCUAAUACAUGCAAGUCGAACGAAGCUGUUUUAACUGGUGCUUGCACCGACUUAAACAACUGAGUGGCGAACGGGUGAGUAACACGUGGGUAACCUGCCCCAAAGCGGGGGAUAACAUUUGGAAACAGAUGCUAAUACCGCAUAACCACAGAAACCACAUGGUUUCUGUGUCAAAGAUGGUUUCGGCUAUCACUUUGGGAUGGACCCGCGGCGUAUUAGCUAGUUGGUAAGGUAAUGGCUUACCAAGGCAAUGAUCAGUAGCCGGACUGAGAGGUUGAUCGGCCACAUUGGGACUGAGACACGGCCCAAACUCCUACGGGAGGCAGCAGUAGGGAAUCUUCCACAAUGGACGAAAGUCUGAUGGAGCAACGCCGCGUGAGUGAAGAAGGUUUUCGGAUCGUAAAACUCUGUUGUCAGAGAAGAACGUGUGCGAGAGUAACUGCUCGUGCAGUGACGGUAUCUGGCCAGAAAGCCACGGCUAACUACGUGCCAGCCGCCGCGGUAA